rnacentral:antisense_RNA from 1 species
GAUAGCCGUAGAUGAUGGCUGGGUUGAGGGUCGGCUCCGUCACCACACGGACAGUCUGACUGCCCACAUCAUAGAGUCCACCCCAGACUGUGGCUUUAGCAACCAGCAGCAAGGCUCCCAUGCCUAAAAAGAGAAGAUGGUGUCCCAAAAUCAGCCCCAAUUGCCUGGGAUCAUUCCA